AUGGGAAACGCAGCAGGAAGCAUGGAGCUGCCCAACCCCAGGGAGGCCAGGAGCGGGCCGGCCCCUGCGCUCCCCACGGGGCCCCAGAAACCGGCCGCGGUGCCCAAACUGCCAAUGCCCGGCGAGGAGGAGCUGGAGGAGCGCUUCAGCGCGCUUCUGAACACGAUGAAUCUUCCUCCGGACAAAGUGAAGAUCCUCGGUCAGUACGACAAUGAGAAGAAGUGGGACCUGAUCUGUGACCAGGAGCGCUUUCAGGUGAAGAAUCCACCGGCUGCGUAUCUGGAGAAGCUCAGGACGUGUCUGGACCAGGGAGGCGUCAGUAGAAAGUUCAAGAGACGUGUCCAGGAGUGCACUCAGGUCCUGAGGGAGCUGGAAAUCUCCCUGCGGACCAACCACAUUGGUUGGGCGGAAGAGUUUCUGAAUGAAGACAAUCAGGGCCUCAACGUCCUUGUGGAUUAUCUGUCGUUUGCCAACGUCGCUGUCGCGUCGGACGUGGACAAUGUGGACAACGGCUUGGUUCACACAAACAAAGGCAAAAACACAGAGAAGUCGGUGGAAGACCUGAGCAGAAGCGCCAGCAACUCGCCUUCACACAAGGCGCUGACAGUGAGAUUCAACUCUCUCCAACACAGGAAAGCCCAGAGGAACUCACGGGUGGUGAGCCAGAAGGACGACGUCCACCUCUGCAUCAUGUGCUUACGUGCCAUCAUGAACUAUCAGUCUGGGUUCAACCUGGUGAUGAAGCAUCCGUCCUGUGUCAACGAGAUCGCGCUGAGCCUCAACAACAGGAACCCAAGGACCAAGGCGCUGGUGCUGGAGCUGCUGGCUGCCGUGUGUCUGGUGAGAGGAGGCCACGACAUCAUCCUGUCUGCCUUCGACAACUUCAAAGAGGUUUGUGGAGAGAAAAGUCGAUUUGAGAAGCUCAUGGAGUUUUUCUGCAACGACGACAACAACAUCGACUUCAUGGUGGCCUGUAUGCAGUUCAUCAACAUCGUGGUCCACUCAGUGGAAAACAUGAACUUCAGAGUUUACCUCCAGUACGAGUUCACGCAGCACGGGCUGGACGACUACCUGGAGAAGCUGAAGUUCACAGAGAGCGACAAGCUGUCGGUGCAGAUCCAGGCCUACCUCGACAAUCUGUUCGAUGUGGGAGCUUUGCUGGAGGACGCGGAGACGAAGAACGCGCUGCUGGAGCACAUGGAGGAACUGCAGGAGCACAACACGCAGCUGAGCAGCAGGCUUCAGGAGAGCGAGAGGGAGGCGAUGGAGAAAGUCACUGAGCUGGAGAAGAACCUGAUUCAGGCCACAAAAGAAGUGGCGCUGCUCCAGGUAACAGCAGCCGCGCGUCCCACAGGCGCUGGAAGCUGGAAGCUGGAGGUCGUAACGCGUCACGCGUCUGCGUUUCAGGAGAGUCUACGCGAGUCCAGCUCUCAGGUGACUCUGCUGCAGCAGCGAGAGAGAGACAUAGAAGUGGAGCGGGAGAGCGAGAGAGCGCGGCUGCGCGACCAGGAGCGCUGCACCCAGAGCCUGAGGGAGCUGGAGGUCAAAGUUCAGGCCCUGGUGCAGCAGGGGCUCGUCCGCAUGGAGCGCUCUCCAUGCGGACGCCUGGACCUCCUGCUGCUGCCCGUCAACCCCAGCGCUGCACAGAAGCGUCAGGUCGACAGAGGAAUCAAAGCCGAGGAUGAAACGGACUCGGGUGAGGCCACGCCCACUUCCUCUGAAGGUUCAGUGCAGUCCGUGCCCCAGGCUCCUCCCCCACCCCCGCCCCCGUUGCCUCCUCCAGGAGCUGCCACAGCUCCUCCUCCUCCUCCUGUAGCUCCACCUGCCGUGCCGACUCCUGGAGGUGGUUUCAAGAAGAAGAAGUCCAUCAAGACCAAGUAUCGAAUGCCACUGUUGAACUGGCAGGACCUCAAAUGCAACCAGGUGGCAGGAACCAUCUUCAGUGAGCUGGACGACGAACACGUCUACGAGGAGGUGAACAUGGCUGCAUUCGAGGAACAGUUCAAGACCAAGGCCCAGUCGGCUCCCGUAGAACUGGGAACUCUGAAGAAGAAACUGGCCCAGAAGGCCCCCAGCAAAGUGUCUCUGAUGGAGCCCAACAGGGCCAAGAACCUGGCCAUCACGCUGCGUAAGGAAGGCGUGGCCGGGUCCGACAUCUGCUGCGCCAUAGAGACGUACAACCCAAAAGCCCUGAGCCUGGACUUCCUGGAGCUCCUGGAGCGCUUCAUCCCCACCGAGUACGAGAUGAAGCUCAUCCACAGCUACGAGUGCGAGGGCAGGCCCCUGGACGAGCUCAGCGAGGAGGACCGCUUCAUGGUGCUCUUCAGCAAGAUCCCUCGGCUCGGCCAGCGCAUCAGCACCCUCACCUUCAUGGGCAACUUCCCCGAGAGCGUCCAGCUAAUGCAGCCUCAACUCAACGCGGUCAUCGCUGCGUCCAUGUCGCUGAAAUCAUCCGUCAAGCUGAAGAAACUCCUGGAGAUCAUCUUAGCGUUUGGAAACUACAUGAACAGCAGCAAGCGAGGAGCCGCGUACGGCUUCCGGCUGCAGAGCCUGGAUCUGCUGUUAGACACUAAAUCCACUGAUCGGAAGCAGACGUUGCUGAACUUCAUCACCAGCAUCAUCCAGGAGAAAUACCCUGAGGUCCGGUCCUUCUACGCCGAGCUGCACUUUCUGGAUAAGGCGGCGCUUGGUGAGCAGCCGACUGAUGCACACGUCUGCUCCGGUGGAGUUCAUCCUAUCCUUUCUGACCUCUCCUGGACCUUCUGGCCAGUUUCUCUGGACAGCAUUCAGCAGGACGUGCAGGCUCUGGAGCGAGGCAUGGAGCUGACCAGGAGGGAGUUCUCCAUAGAGAAGGACAACCCUGUGCUCCAGACGUUCCUCAGCCUCAACACGGGGCUGCUCAACGCGCUGACGGCCGACAGAAGGACCGCUCAGGACGUGUACGACUCCGUCGUCGAGUACUUUGGAGAGAACUCCAAGACGACGCCUCCGUCCAUGUUCUUCCCCGUCUUCAUCAGAUUCAUUAAAGCCUACAAGCAAGCGGAGCAGGAGAACGAGCAGAGGAAGAAACACGAGCUAAACAGCGAAGCUCCGUCGACUCCACCCAGACCUGACGGUUCGGAGACCAAGGUUCUCCUGAUUCCCAAACUGCAGCAGAUGGAUCUAAUCGCGGAGCUGAAGAGGCGGCAGGUGUCUCCUCUGGUGAGGGAGAGGAAGGACGGCGCCAUCGAGGACAUCAUCACAGAUCUGAAGAACCAGCCGUACAGACGAGCUGACGCCGCCCGACACAGUGCCAAGUGGAAGCAGAGUCAGCAGCUGCAGGUGUCCUCGGACAUCUCCCUCUGAGAAGCCCACACACAGUGUGUGGAGGCACGCGAGCCGCUCACGCUGGAUUUCCUGAGAAUGAGCCUCCAGCUGUUCAGUACUCCAGCUGUUCGCGGCCUGUGAAGGGGGACCAGCUGGGUCUCCUGCCAACGCUUGUCAGACUGGACGGAGUUGAUGGAUGAAUAGUAGAACGAUAAGAAUGCCGCAGAUGCCUCGAACCCGUUCUCCUGCAUGCCUGUGGUCCAGAUUCUGGGUUUAAUUUGACGAGCUGCUUUUGUACAGCCGGUUGUUUUACAGUCCCGUCCAUGAGGAAGUUUCAGUUACAAAGCUGUUGCCAGUGAAAACGAGAUUCCUGAGGCAGCAUCUACUUCCCUCUUCUCUGAAUGAAGAUUUAUGUUGUUGCUGGAGCUGUCAUAUGAUAGGUGGCAGUAAAUUUAGUUUCUGCUUAGUCUCAUAGAACUUUAGAGCAACUUUACUUCAGUUCUGUUCAUGCAAGUGUUAAUAUUUCUUUUGCAGGUUUCUGUUGUCAACACCAAACAUUUAUUUGAAUUGUCUUUAUAUUGAGAUGUUAAGUUUAUGCGUUCAAAUAAAAUAAAAACAAUCAAGUCAAACCA